CCAGAGAUUGCAAGAACCCGA
rnacentral:miRNA from 1 species